GCGCUUCAACCACUCAACUGCACCUGCGUACAAGCACCACCGACAGAGAGAGGUCGAGGGAGAAAGCGCCGCCGUCGUGAUUCGCCGCUGUGUCGGCGCCACGCUCUCAGAAAGCGGCUGGGGGCAUUGCCUCAAUCGUAUGGCGAGUGUAGGAUGCCUUGGUUGGAACGGAAUCUUGCUGGGCGGCCCCCAAUUUCUUGUCGGAACCUAGGCGUGCCGCGUUGUCGCUGCCGACCAUCACCGACCUAACCAUUUGGAGAAGAUCAGGUGGUUCAGGAGGAGCUGCCUAACACUGAGGAGUUCGAUCUGAUCUAGGUGGCGUUUCUCAGUCGACAUUGGCGCCAACGAUCCUUAGUUCGUUUCAUGUUUAUUACUUUUAUUUUGUAAUAAGUCUUCCGCUAUGUAAUAAAUACUCUGAUGUUUUAUGACAUUUAUCUCUAUACACUCUGUUAUUAU
rnacentral:lncRNA from 7 species